rnacentral:rRNA from 1 species
AGAGAUGCACUGGGUGUAAAGCGUGCGCAGGCGGUUUUGUUAAGACAGAGGUGAAAUCCCCGGGCUCAACCUGGGAACUGCCUUUGUGACUGCAAGGCUGGAGUGCGGCAGAGGGGGAUGGAAUUCCGCGUGUAGCAGUGAAAUGCGUAGAUAUGCGGAGGAACACCGAUGGCGGAGGCAAUCCCCUGGGCCUGCACUGACGCUCAUGCACGAAAGCGUGGGGAGCAAACA